rnacentral:lncRNA from 1 species
GAGCUGGUACUCUGGUGAGAUCAAAUGGAUUGAAAUACAGGACGAAGUUUGUUUUAUAAACCAAACCUCAUCUUUUAUGACUCUCAUGCUUGCCUCUGGACUCUGAAAGAUUCUAAGCUUGAAAUAAUCGAAGCAAUAAGGGGUAUUUUCUACUUGCAAAGGAAAGUUUUAGUUUAUUUGCUUAUUUUUCCCCCUUUUCCUUUCCUUUUUUCCUUUUUUUUUUAUGCCAGAGCUUAUAAACAUGCAGAUAAAUAAUCGAAGCAAUAAGGGGCGGGGGGAGGUGGGGGAGACUCAGGCAUGGCGGGCUGCAGGUCCCGAGGAGCCCUGCCCUGCAGGGAGGCAGCUAAGGCCCGGGGAGAAAUCGAGCACAGCAGCUGCUGGCCCAGGUGCUAAGCCCCUCACUGCCCGGGGCUUGCAGGCCUGCCGGCUGCUCUAAAUGCGGCCCGCCGAGCCCUCGCCCACCCGGAACUCUCGCUGGCCCGCAAGCGCCGCGCGCAGCCCCGGUUCCCACCCUCGUCUCUCCCUCCACACCUCCCCGGAAGCUGAGGGAGCCGGCUCCGGCCUUGGCCAGCCCAGAAAGGGGCUCCCACAGUGCAGCGGCGGGCUGAAGGGCUCCUCAAGCGCGGCCAGAGUGGGCGCCAAGGCCGAGGAGGCGCCGAGAGCGAGCAAGGGCUGCGAGCGCUGCCAGCAUGCUGUCACCUCUCAACAACACCAUUGACAUUUUGUGCAGCUGAAGGCAGCAGGCCAGAUGGACAAUGUGACUAAUGUGGAGUCACACUCCAGAAGGAGUCAGAUGCAUGCAUUCUGCUUCCUAGAACGAAAAAGAUGGAUUUGAUGUCGUGAAAUGGCAAUUCUAAAACUCAGGAGAUAUGUUGGUGUUUCUGAGCUCUUACUCCAGUGUCCACUUGUCCAUAGAAUCACCUUUCACUUCUGGGGUCAGAGGACAGCUCCUGGAAUGAUCUCUCAUCUUACGGCAAAAAGACAGAGUCUCGCGCUAUUGCCCAGGCUGGAGUGCAGUGGUGUGAUCUCGGUUCAAUGCAACCUCCGCCUCCCGGGUUCAAGCAAUUCUCCUGCCUUAGCCGCCUGAGCAGCUGGGACUACGGAUGCUUGUCACCACACCCAGCUAAUUUUUCUAUUUUUAGUAGAGACGGGGUUUCACCCUGUUGGCCAGGAUGGUCUUGAACUCCUGACCUCGUGAUCCACCCACCUCAGCCUUCCAAAAUGCUGGGAUUAGAGGCAUGAGCCACCGCACCCGGCCUCUGUAAUCUAUUUUUAACACAGAAGCAGAGUGAUGAUUUCGAAUGUAAGUGAUAUCAUGCCACUCUUCUGCCCAAAAUGACAACCAAAUCCUAACAAUCAAUUUACGAAGACUUCAAUGAUCUCACAGCAUCCUCUGUUCAACUUUGUCUCAUGUCCUGGUAUUUUAUCCUUUCUUCUACCCUGCAACCAUACUUACCCUUUGGCUAGUUCUUGAGGAUACUAAGAACUCACUCUUCCAGGGAUUUAGCUCUGUGGUGCCCUCUGUCUUAAACACUCUUGGCUCAGAUACCAACGUGACAUAUCUCUCACUCUUUCAAGGAUUUAUUUAAAUAUCACUUUAUGGGUGAGAAUUCCUUUGCCUGCUCUAAUUACAGUUGCAAGAACAUGUACCAUCAGCCUGGUUGUUCCUAUUCUCCUUCUCUGAAUUUUUAAAAAAUCUACAACAUUCUAUAUUUUUCUUCCUUAUUUUACUGUUUUCUAACUUUUCCAAAUAAACCAUGAGAAGACAAGAAUUUUGCUUAUAGCUGUGUCCUCAGCAGACAGAAUUUUGCCUGACAUGGCAGGAGGCAUUCAAUAAAUAUCUGUUUAAUAGAAAUUUCAGAUCUGAGAUAAUUGCAUGAGCUAUAAAUUGUUUCAAAAAUUACAUAUAGAUGUAUCAGUUUUUUUCCCAAAUUGGCCAUGUCAAACACUUUAUCAGCGUGAUUUGUUUUUACUGGUAGUGAUGUUAAGAGAGAUUCCAUUUGACCUAUUUAUUUUGGAAGUGAUUCGACUAUGAGUCCACUGUCUAAAGAGGUUCUAAUCAAGUUAAUUAUUUUUUUUAUCAGAAAUCUUCCGAAGUUUUCCUGGUUUGUGGUGUUAUUCCUGUAUAAUAAACCUGGGAUGGCAAAAAAAUGAUAUAAAUAAGCAAAGCUGGCUUGCUUCUACCCUUGUUUCUACAUAUUUCUACAUGUUCUACCCUCAUUCUUACUUUCCUGUGAAUGAGAAGGAGCUUUAUCAGUGCUGAAGAGAAAAUUGAGAAAUCAAAACAUGUCCUUAGGUUACCUCCCUGAGAGUUGAAGCUUUUAGUAGGAAGAGUAAAGAAAUGUAAAUAUAAGAGGAUUUUAACAAUGGUUCUUCACAUUCCUUUCACUUUACCUCUCAAGUAUGUGGUGAGAGCCUUUUUUUUUUUUUUUUUUUUUUGAGACGGAGUCUCGCUCUUUGCCCAGGCUGGAGUGCGGCGACGCUAUCUCGGCUCACUGCAAGCUCUGCCUCCUGGGUUCACGCCAUUUUCCUGCCUCAGCCUCCCGAGUAGCUGGGAAUACAGGCGUCAGACCCUUUGUCUUGGUAAAAACUCCAAAGUCCUGGCUUACCUGGAACCAGAGGAUGGACUAUGAGAACAGAGAUCUGGAGAAGGUGGGCAGGACUUCCUAUAGCGGAGGCUAAAAUCUUUCUGACAACUUCUCUGUGAUUCAGGAAGCUUAACAGAGUGGAAUAAAUCUAAGAGUUUGGGGAAAAAGAAAAAAAAAGCAACAAAAACACUGUUAGUGAUAGAGUGUACAUCCAUAGGAAAUGAGUACGUGAGGAGGCAUGUAUACCUUGGAAAUUUGAUGUCUUUGCCUACUCUUACUCUUCAGCCUGCAUAAUCAUUAUUGUCUAUUGUUAUCAAUUACAUAGUAAUAAGGGGUGAAAUGAUGUUGAAAAGUCAAGGGCUUCUCAGUUAACUAGAGCUGCCUUACUGGUUGGGUUAUUUCACUGUUCGACUUAUACAUUUCCUUUAUUGUUCUUUGUUCUUUAUUUUAUUGUUUUUUGCUUGUUUGUUUGUUUAUAACAUAUGAGUUGCUAAACACCUAAAGCUUACAGUAAAAGAGCCAGAGAGGCAACAUGAGCUCUAUUUCAGAAAUGAGUUCUUAUCCUUGGUUUUACGUCUUGUUAUCUGUGUGGCCUUGGGAAAGUUGCUUAACUUCAUACUUCCCAGGACCUACUCAGAAAGGGGCAGGAACAUCAGUUAAUGUGUUAACCAUCAGUUAGUGUGUCACUCUGAUUUUUCAAAGAGAAACUGCUUCCCAGCGGUGAAAUUCAGUCUCACCUGCAAUGUUGUGUGUAUAUUUAAGCCAGUUGGCUUGGCUCUUGUGUGAUUUUUAUGAUUGAUGAGUUUUCCUAUUUUCAUCAUGAUGUUCCUCUGAGAGAAGAAACCAGAACUGAGGCCAGAUUGAUAACAAUCUCAUUAUGGCCUUAUUAUUGUUCUGGUCCUGGAGAUCCAUAACUUGGUUUUCUAUUAGCCCAUUACUCAAAUGAGACUGUUGGAAAGCAAAAGCUUCUGUUGUGAGGCAGCAUGAGCCACCUGGCUUUUGGAAAUGCCUGUUUGGAUGCACUGAAGAUGAGAAAGCUAUGUGGAGUGGCCAGCACAAAGGAUGCUUUUUCUUCCUUGUGCAUCUGUAUUCGUGUGAGGAUACAGUCUCCCUGGAAAGAGAGAUGCAUAAGACCUAUUAACAUUUAGAGGAUAAAUGCACACUCACUAAGAGGUAAAUAUGCCUAUUAACGUAAGAAACAUGCAUCAAUUUCACUGGCAAUCUCACACAGGCAAACACUAAUGUUGUGAGGACAGAAAGAUCCAAGGGCGGCUUGAAAUGGAUAGGUUUUAAUUUAAGAAACAUUAUAAGGAAAAAAAAGUUGUGACCUUAAAAAGAUGAAGAAAACUUGGCAUUGGAAUCUGAACAAGAUAUCUGCAGGUUUUCUGUUCCUGAGAUUUCAAGAGCAGGAAAACUGAGUAAGAAAAGGAAUGAGAGAAAAUCUACCUUCUACAUUGCAGAUUGUGCCAUUAUCCAUUUAAUCCUAAAUUUAGGAUAAAUCAUAAUCUCCUUGCAUUAGUUCGCUAGGACUGCCAUAACAAAGUUAUGCACAGACUGGAUGGCUUAAACAACAGAAAUUUGUUGUCUCACAGUUUUGGAGACCAGAAUUGUUGAUUUCUUCUGAGACCUCUCUCCCUGCGCUGUGGAUGUCAGUCUUCUCCCUGUGCCUGUGCAUCUUCACUCCUUAGUUUUUUUCUGUCUUUGUCCUAAUUUCCUCUUAUUAUAAGGGCACCAGUCAUAUUGGAUUACGGCUUGCCAUAAUGAUCUCAUUUUACCUUAAUUAAUUCUUUAAAGACCUUAUAUCUAAAUGUAGUCACAUGCUGAGGUAUAUUCAUGACACACAUGCUGGGGAUGAGGACUCAGCAUAUGAAUUUUAAAGGGACACAAUUCCAUCUGUCACCCUCCUCCAUGAAAAAUCUAAGUGAUGGGUCCUCUUAGCCCAUUUUUCAGAAGAGAAAAAUGAAUGUUCUGAAAGGUUGAAACGCUGUCAUAUUCAAACAGCUUUAAAAAAUACAGAGAGUAGCUGAAUCACAGAAAACAGUGACUUGCUCUUUCCUUCCCUCCAAGAUGUCCUUUGCUUCCUUGAUUAACAUUUAGGAAGAAUGGACCUAGAAAAGGGAAAAACAUAAAAACACAAAAUCAUAAUGCUGCUCCUCCGAUUUCUGGGUUUUUAUGUAAUUAUAAUUACUAGUAUACUAAGAAACAACCCAUGAUCUUGAAAGCAUUCAUUUAAUUUCUCACAAAACUGUCUAAACAAUGGAACUUAAAAUAAGUGAACAAAUAUUUGGUUAAAAUAUUUGGAUAAAUUAUGUAUCUGUGAAUAUUUUCCACGUGCAUACUUAAAUAUGAAAUAUUAAGAUGUGUGAGGCAUGUCAUAAGAACAAAUAUGUCUUGUUUGAAAAAAUGCAAGUAAAUAAUCUUAUUUUCAGUUUUGUAAGUUUAGAGUUUUUCCUACGAAACUUCAGUCUUUAUGGAAUCCUAAUACGACGUUCUUAUUUCUAUAUGGGAUUUAGCUACUAUAAAUUGGGAGAAAUUAAGAGUGACAUCUAUUUAUCUUGACAUUCUAUAUAUAGUUUUUUCAAGGUAAAUCUAUUAAUACUGCUUUAUUCAAAACAUAAUAUGGCACAAUCAAAGUUGUAUCAAAGUCUGUUAGGUAGAUUCAUGACAAGUCAUCAUUACUAAAUUGUUCACAGUGGUAGAAAGGGGUGAUGGAAAGAUGACUUGAGUAAAACUGAGGAAUCCUUCAGUUUAUUUUAAGCUCAGCUACAAACCUGUCUGAUGAUACUGAGCAGGCUACGAAAGCUUUCCAGGCAUCAGUUUACUUACUAGUAAAAAUAGAAAUCCCCAACAUGUAAUUAGCAAAUUAGAUCAUAUGUGUGUAAACUUCAAGAAUGUAUAAAUGUAAAAUAUUAUUGCUAUUAUUAUUAUUUUUCUUUGUCUUUCCUAAGGAAGAAAAUUGUCUGCUUGUAUUCUAAGCACUUUGUAAACAAACACUAGGUAUUCAAUGAACAGGGAGCAAAAUCUAGUUCUCAGCUAGCUGAUAGAGUGAGGGAGAGAGACAGGGUGGGUGGUUUGUGAUUAAACACUCCAAAUGUUCCAUGCUAAAAUAGAUAUCAGUGUGGUAUGCCCUGGGAGCAUAAUAAAGGACACCCCUGAUGGAGUAAGCAGGGAUGAGGAGGGAGUCAGAAAGUUUCCUAGAGAUGACACUGAAACAAAGUUAAUUAGUAUGAGCAGGAGGUAGCCGAGUCAAUCAAAUACUUUUUCAUACAGAAUACAUUCCAUAAGCGAUUGCUUUAUAACCAAUUAAACUCUUCACACAAAAUAUAAUGGGAGACUUAAUUAUGUUUUGAUAUAAUUUGUGAUUUUUAAAAAUAAAUAAAUGGUUGGUUUCUUUCUACAAGAUUUCCUGUGGAUUUUCAAAAACUUUCAAUUAUUUCUAGAUAUUAAUAUUAAUACUUCUAAUGUGGUGAUUCUGACAUGGCAGGUUGUAUUUCCAAAAACAGUCACAACAUUUCCUAUUUUGCAUCUUCCUCUACAAUGUGACUUUGGCCCUCCUUUCAUGGAAGGAUGAAGCCUCUGCUUCUUCCCUUAAAUGAGAGUGUGCUUCCAAAUCCUUUAACAGAUAGAGAAUGCCAGAUAUGAUGCUGUAUAACUUCUCAGGCUGCCUCAUGAAAGGUGAUGCACCUUUGCCUUUUUCACUGAAAUACCUGUGCUUGGAACACACACACUUUAAAUAUGCUGCAACUGUUAAACUGUGAGGAAGCCAAGCUACAUAGUAGGCAAACGUUGGGGCUCUGAACAGCAGGAUUAGUCUUUGAUCUUCCCAGGCCAGGCACCAGCCAUGUGAGUGAACAACCCUUUCGAUGGUAUUCUUUCCAGGCUCAAGUUUCCCCCUAGCUUUUGAGUCUUUCAG